GCAGAGACGCCAUCUCCAUGUAUUCUAACCUCCUUGAUCUGUGUACUUCGACUGUUCGUAAGGUUAUCGAGUCAGCAGUCGAUAAAAUGCUUUUUAAAGUAUUUAAUGUGAAAAUUUAUGUAAUAAAUCAUAUCCGUUAUCACAGUUAUAAAAAAGGUGGUAUUUUGGAAGCAUAUUGGAAUAAAAUUCGAGAUGAAGGAUUUACAGUUGAUAAGAGCCAGCUGAAAGUUGCAGAAGUUUUAGAAGGUCUGCAAGAACAGCUCAAAACUUAUCAAGUCUCUAAACCAAACUUAUUCUCUAAAAUGUUUGGAGCAAGAAAAGAAAAGCCUCCAAAAGGCAUGUAUCUGUAUGGAUCAGUAGGUUGUGGGAAGACUAUGCUAAUGGAUUUAUUUUAUGAACGCUGUACUCGGGAAAAGAAGAGAAGGACUCAUUAUCAUUCCUUCAUGCUAGAUGUUCACAGUCGAAUACAUGAAUAUAAAAAGAGAACAUUAAAGCAGAAGACUGGUAAAAAAUCUCUUGAUUAUGAUCCAAUUGCACCUGUGGCUGAGGCAAUCUGUAAUGAAACUUGGUUUUUGUGUUUAGAUGAAUUUCAGGUUACUGAUAUUGGAGAUGCAAUGAUUUUAAAGCGGUUAUUCACAGAAAUUUUCAACAAUGGAACAAUACUUUUUGCUACUUCAAAUCGAGCACCAGAUGAUUUAUAUAAAAAUGGGCUGCAAAGGAGCAAUUUUCUUCCAUUUAUAGCUGUCUUAAAAGCAUAUUGCAGACCAAUGUGGCUGGAUUCUGGUGUGGAUUAUAGGACAAAAUUUGUUGCUACAAGAAACAAGUUUUUUGUUUUUUCAGAAUGUCAUGCUAACCGGGAAUUAGAUGAAGCUUUCAAGAUAUUGGCUAGUCGAGAAAAUGAUGUUAUUCGUUCCAGAAUCUUAACUAUCAAGAAUCGUAAUGUUACUCUUAAUACUACUUGUGGACGUGUUGCAGACUGCACAUUUGAGGAGUUAUGUGAUAGGCCUUUAGGUGCAAUUGAUUAUCUUACCAUAAGUCAAGUGUUUGAUACUGUGGUAAUCAGAAAUAUCCCACAACUGACUCGGAGUCAAAAAUCCCAAGCUAGGAGAUUUAUAACACUUAUUGAUACUUUAUAUGACAAUAAGAAGUUCCUAUAAAGAAGCUAUUUCUCCCUGCUGUUAUAAACCCUGUAAUAUAUGAUGAUGAAAAUAGAGCUUUGAUGGAUGAUCUGAAUAUAACAAAAGGAAGUGAAAAUGAAUCUGCCAGUAUUUUUAGUGGAGAAGAAGAAGUAUUUGCAUUUGAUAGAACUGUUUCACGUUUGAAUGAGAUGCAAACAGAAGAAUAUUGGAUGCUUCGAUCUAACUCUUAAUUUUUAAAGUUUUUAGCUUUUCUAUGCAUUGCAGCAAUAAAAAAUUAAAUCCCAACUUCAUUUUUGCAAUCUGAAACCACGUAGACUAACUACAGAGAUUGUGUUUUUAUACUGUGAUAUUAGCAAUGGAAUCAGUGUACUUUUGUAUAGAAAUUUUUAUUAGUAGUAUACAAAUGUUUCUUUCUAUAUUUGUUGAUAUUAAAGAUAAUUUGUUGUAUUA
rnacentral:misc_RNA from 1 species